GACGUAGGAGGCGAGGCGUUGUCCGGAUUCAUUGGGCGUAAAGAGCACGCAGGCGGUUUGGCAAGUCGGAUGUGAAAACCCGAAAGCUCAACUUCGGGCCGUGCAUCCGAAACUGCCCGACUACGAGGUAGGUAGGGGAGAUCGGAAUUCCGUGGUGUAGCGGUGAAAUGCGUAGAGAUGUGGAGGAACACCAGUGGCGAAGGCGACAUCUUUGGCCUGUAACUGACA
rnacentral:rRNA from 1 species